rnacentral:rRNA from 1 species
AUACGGAGGAUCCGAGCGUUAUCCGGAUUUAUUGGGUUUAAAGGGAGCGUAGGCGGACGCUUAAGUCAGUUGUGAAAGUUUGCGGCUCAACCGUAAAAUUGCAGUUGAUACUGGGUGUCAUGAGUACAGUAGAGGCAGGCGGAAUUCGUGGUGUAGCGGUGAAAUGCUUAGAUAUCACGAAGAACUCCGAUUGCGAAGGCAGCCUGCUGGACUGUAACUGACGCUGAUGCUCGAAAGUGUGGGUAUCAAACAGGAUUAGAUACCCUGGUAGUCCACACAGUAAACGAUGAAUACUCGCUGUUUGCGAUAUACAGUAAGCGGCCAAGCGAAAGCGUUAAGUAUUCCACCUGGGGAGUACGCCGGCAACGGUGAAACUCAAAUGAAUUGACGGGG